rnacentral:rRNA from 1 species
UACGGGGGGGGCAAGCGUUGUUCGGAAUUACUGGGCGUAAAGGGCUCGUAGGUGGCCAACUAAGUCAGACGUGAAAUCCCUCGGCUUAACCGGGGAACUGCGUCUGAUACUGGAUGGCUUGAGUUCGGGAGAGGGAUGCGGAAUUCCAGGUGUAGCGGUGAAAUGCGUAGAUAUCUGGAGGAACACCGGUGGCGAAGGCGGCAUCCUGGACCAACACUGACGCUGAGGCGCGAAAGCGUGGGGAGCAAACAGG